rnacentral:rRNA from 1 species
AAAUUGAAGAGUUUGAUCAUGGCUCAGAUUGAACGCUGGCGGCAGGCCUAACACAUGCAAGUCGAACGGUAACAGGAAGCAGCUUGCUGCUUUGCUGACGAGUGGCGGACGGGUGAGUAAUGUCUGGGAAACUGCCUGAUGGAGGGGGAUAACUACUGGAAACGGUGGCUAAUACCGCAUAACGUCGCAAGACCAAAGAGGGGGACCUUCGGGCCUCUUGCCAUCAGAUGUGCCCAGAUGGGAUUAGCUUGUUGGUGAGGUAACGGCUCACCAAGGCGACGAUCCCUAGCUGGUCUGAGAGGAUGACCAGCCACACUGGAACUGAGACACGGUUCAGACUCCUACGGGAGGCAGCAGUGGGGAAUAUUGCACAAUGGGCGCAAGCCUGAUGCAGCCAUGCCGCGUGUAUGAAGAAGGCCUUCGGGUUGUAAAGUACUUUCAGCGGGGAGGAAGGUGUUGUGGUUAAUAACCACAGCAAUUGACGUUACCCGCAGAAGAAGCACCGGCUAACUCCGUGCCAGCAGCCGCGGUAAUACGGAGGGUGCAAGCGUUAAUCGGAAUUACUGGGCGUAAAGCGCACGCAGGCGGUCUGUCAAGUCGGAUGUGAAAUCCCCGGGCUCAACCUGGGAACUGCAUUCGAAACUGGCAGGCUUGAGUCUUGUAGAGGGGGGUAGAAUUCCAGGUGUAGCGGUGAAAUGCGUAGAGAUCUGGAGGAAUACCGGUGGCGAAGGCGGCCCCCUGGACAAAGACUGACGCUCAGGUGCGAAAGCGUGGGGAGCAAACAGGAUUAGAUACCCUGGUAGUCCACGCCGUAAACGAUGUCUACUUGGAGGUUGUGCCCUUGAGGCGUGGCUUCCGGAGCUAACGCGUUAAGUAGACCGCCUGGGGAGUACGGCCGCAAGGUUAAAACUCAAAUGAAUUGACGGGGGCCCGCACAAGCGGUGGAGCAUGUGGUUUAAUUCGAUGCAACGCGAAGAACCUUACCUGGUCUUGACAUCCACAGAACUUUCCAGAGAUGGAUUGGUGCCUUCGGG